rnacentral:rRNA from 1 species
AUACGGAGGGUGCAAGCGUUACUCGGAAUCACUGGGCGUAAAGCGCGCGCAGGCGGUCUUUUAAGUUGGAUGUGAUAGCCUACGGCUCAACCGUAGAACUGCAUCCAAAACUAUUAGACUAGAGUGUGGGAGAGGAAGAUGGAAUUAGUUGUGUAGGGGUAAAAUCCGUAGAGAUAACUAGGAAUACCAAAAGCGAAGGCAAUCUUCUGGAACACUACUGACGCUGAGGCGCGAAAGCGUGGGGAGCAAACAGGAUUAGAAACCCCAGUAGUCC